rnacentral:rRNA from 1 species
UGUCGUCAGCUCGUCGUCGUGAGAUGUUGGGUUAAGGUCCGUAACGAGCGCAACCCUGUCCUUAGUUACCAGCACGUAUGGUGGGCACUCUAAGGAGGACUGCCGGUGACAAACCGGAGGGAAGGUGGGGAGUGACGUCAAGUCAUCAUGGCCCUUACGGCCUGGGCUACACACGUGCUACAAUGGUCGGUACAAAGGGUUGCCAAGCCGCGAGGUGGAGCUAAUCCCAUAAAACCGAUCGUAGUCCGGAUCGCAGUCUGCAACUCGACUGCGUGAAGUCGGAAUCGCUAGUAAUCGUGAAUCAGAAUGUCACGGUGAAUACGUUCCCGGGCCUU